rnacentral:rRNA from 2 species
ACGGGAGGCAGCAGUAGGGAAUAUUGGGCAAUGGGGGAAACCCUGACCCAGCAACGCCGCGUGAGGGAAGAAGGUUUUCGGAUUGUAAACCUCUGUCCUUAGGGACGAAGAAGUGACGGUACCUAAGGAGGAAGCUCCGGCUAACUACGUGCCAGCAGCCGCGGUAAUACGUAGGGAGCAAGCGUUGUCCGGAAUUACUGGGCGUAAAGGGUGCGUAGGCGGUUUGUUAAGUCAGAUGUGAAAUACCGGGGCUCAACUCCGGGGCUGCAUUUGAAACUGGCAGACUUGAGUGCAGGAGAGGAAAGCGGAAUUCCUAGUGUAGCGGUGAAAUGCGUAGAUAUUAGGAGGAACACCAGUGGCGAAGGCGGCUUUCUGGACUGUAACUGACGCUGAGGCACGAAAGCGUGGGGAGCAAACAGGAUUAGAUACCCUGGUA